rnacentral:rRNA from 1 species
CCUACGGGAUGCAGCAGUGGGGAAUAUUGCACAAUGGGGGAAACCCUGAUGCAGCAACGCCGCGUGAGUGAAGAAGUAUUUCGGUAUGUAAAGCUCUAUCAGCAGGGAAGAAGAAAGACGGUACCUGACUAAGAAGCCCCGGCUAACUACGUGCCAGCAGCCGCGGUAAUACGUAGGGGGCAAGCGUUAUCCGGAUUUACUGGGUGUAAAGGGAGCGUAGACGGCUGUUCAAGUCUGAAGUGAAAGCCCGUGGCUCAACCGCGGAACUGCUUUGGAAACUGUAUAGCUUGAGUACUGGAGAGGCAGGCGGAAUUCCUAGUGUAGCGGUGAAAUGCGUAGAUAUUAGGAGGAACACCAGUGGCGAAGGCGGCCGCCUGGCCUGUUGCUGACGCUGAGGCACGAAAGCGUGGGGAGCAAAUAGGAUUAGAUACCCCAGUAGUC